AUUGAACGCUGGCGGUAGGCUUAACACAUGCAAGUCGAGCGGAGAUGAGGUGCUUGCACCUUAUCUUAGCGGCGGACGGGUGAGUAAUGCUUAGGAAUCUGCCUAUUAGUGGGGGACAACAUUCCGAAAGGAAUGCUAAUACCGCAUACGUCCUACGGGAGAAAGCAGGGGAUCUUCGGACCUUGCGCUAAUAGAUGAGCCUAAGUCGGAGUAGCUAGUUGGUGGGGUAAAGGCCUACCAAGGCGACGAUCUGUAGCGGGUCUGAGAGGAUGAUCCGCCACACUGGGACUGAGACACGGCCCAGACUCCUACGGGAGGCAGCAGUGGGGAAUAUUGGACAAUGGGGGAAACCCUGAUCCAGCCAUGCCGCGUGUGUGAAGAAGGCCUUAUGGUUGUAAAGCACUUUAAGCGAGGAGGAGGCUACUGAGACUAAUACUCUUGGACAGUGGACGUUACUCGCAGAAUAAGCACCGGCUAACUCUGUGCCAGCCGCCGCAGUAA
rnacentral:rRNA from 1 species